rnacentral:lncRNA from 1 species
UUAUAGAUGAUAUAGAUAGACAAUGAUCGGAUGCUUUGGGGCUCUGUUCACCAGGUGGCGAGGGCUCCUCAGAAGUUUUCGUAUUCCCCUACGCUACAAUCUCGAAUUUUUAGGAAAAGUGGGAUUUCUCACUCUCUAAUUGGUCGAUUACUAGAGUUUCCUUAUUAGGAAUGAUUUUACUUGCCGUUAGUUAGGGUCAUGUUAGAGUCUUUCUUAAAAACAAAGAGUAUCUAAAAAAAAUUCUGGGCUGAAUAUUUAAAUCAGAGUAAUGACAAAAUUCCCAACAUUCCAUUUAUUACCAAAAAGAAUAAUUCGACUGCAUAAUUAAGAAAAUAGAGACGAUAAACAAUCGAACAAAUUUUGAACGAAAAAGGAGCGCGCGCAAACUGUUGUUGAUGAAAGAUGAAACCUAACCUCACGCGAUACUUCAAAACAAUCAAAAUCUGAAAAUAAAAGGGAAAUUCAGAAAUUCCUAGGCCAAUAUUGAUUUUCCAGGCAUAUAUUGCUUUCAGAACUAUUGUGGAACUACCGAAAAUAAUAGGACUGGGUUAACACGAUUGCCAUUGUCAUAGAAUUAGUGACCUAACAGUUAAAUUAGUGCAUAUAAUAUCAAAAUAUAUUGCUAGAAGCAGCAAGCUAGAAAAUAUACCAAUCAGUCAACUAUGAAUGAUUUCAAGCUGGACAUGCUGAUUGAAUCCACUAGAUGCCCCAAAAAUUAGGACCACAAACCCGGAUGUUCCUAAAAAGUUGCUAGUAUUAUGCAUACAAGUGUAUUAAAAGAGGAUGGGGUUACGUGAUAUGUAACAAUAGAUACCAAUUCCUUCAGUUGAUCAUCGAAGGAAAGAUUAAGGGAUAGAGAGGAUGUCAUGGCUUGGUAACAUCAGAGAGUGGAUGGGACUCAAGACAAUGGAAGAUCUACUCCAUGCAAUAUUAAAUAAAAAAGUGGACUAAUGUGCUCAUGCACAUCCAUUAGUGGAUUUGCAGCCGAAGUCUUAAGAGACUGACAGCUAACAUUAAAUAGUGAUUUGACAGUGGUUAUCAGUGCAAAAAAUGUGAUAUGUAAUUGUUUUCUAGUGAUAAAUUAAUGAUUAACUAGAAACUUGGUUUGUGUUGGAACAAAGGAAGCCUUAUUUUUUAUUAUGAUAAGUUAAAGAAGCGGGUUUUUGUUCUACAAAGAUAUAAGGUAUGCUUGAUAUACACAAUUGGUUAGGAAAAAAAAAUAAAAUUAAAUAAUAAAACUA